rnacentral:rRNA from 1 species
GUGGGGAAUUUUGGACAAUGGGCGCAAGCCUGAUCCAGCAAUGCCGCGUGCAGGAAGAAGGCCUUCGGGUUGUAAACUGCUUUUGUACGGAACGAAACGGUCCUGGUUAAUACCCGGGGCUAAUGACGGUACCGUAAGAAUAAGCACCGGCUAACUACGUGCCAGCAGCCGCGGUAAUACGUAGGGUGCAAGCGUUAAUCGGAAUUACUGGGCGUAAAGCGUGCGCAGGCGGUUUUGUAAGACAGGCGUGAAAUCCCCGGGCUCAACCUGGGAAUGGCGCUUGUGACUGAAAAGCGGGAGUGCGGCAGAGGGGGAUGGAAUUCCGCGUGUAGCAGUGAAAUGCGUAGAUAUGCGGAGGAACACCGAUGGCGAAGGCAAUCCCCUGGGCCUGCACUGACGCUCAUGCACGAAAGCGUGGGGAGCAAACAGGAUUAGAUACCCUAGUAGUCC